GACGAACGCUGGCGGCGUGCUUAACACAUGCAAGUCGAACGAUGAACCCGGAGCUUGCUCCGGCGGAUUAGUGGCGAACGGGUGAGUAACACGUGAGUAACCUGCCCUUGACUCUGGGAUAACUGCUAGAAAUGGUAGCUAAUACCGGAUACGACCCUCGGUGGCAUCACCAGGGGGUGGAAAGAAUUUCGGUCAAGGAUGGACUCGCGGCCUAUCAGCUAGUUGGUGAGGUAACGGCUCACCAAGGCGACGACGGGUAGCCGGCCUGAGGGGGGGACCGGCCAAGCUGGGACUGAGACACGGCCCAGACUCCUACGGGAGGCAGCAGUGGGGAAUAUUGCACAAUGGGCGCAAGCCUGAUGCAGCAACGCCGCGUGAGGCAUGACGGCCUUCGGGUUGUAAACCUCUUUUAGUAGGGAAGAAGCGAAAGUGACGGUACCUGCAGAAAAAGCACCGGCUAACUACGUGCCAGCCGCCGCAGUAA
rnacentral:rRNA from 1 species